rnacentral:rRNA from 1 species
GACGAACGCUGGCGGCGUGCCUAAUACAUGCAAGUCGAACGAAGCUGUUUUAACUGGUGCUUGCACCGACUUAAACAACUGAGUGGCGAACGGGUGAGUAACACGUGGGUAACCUGCCCCAAAGCGGGGGAUAACAUUUGGAAACAGAUGCUAAUACCGCAUAAUCACAGAAACCACAUGGUUUCUGUGUCAAAGAUGGUUUCGGCUAUCACUUUGGGAUGGACCCGCGGCGUAUUAGCUAGUUGGUAAGGUAAUGGCUUACCAAGGCAAUGAGACGUAGCCGAACGGAGAGCUGGAUCGGCCACAUUGGGACUGAGACACGGCCCAAACUCCUACGGGAGGCAGCAGUAGGGAAUCUUCCACAAUGGACGAAAGUCUGAUGGAGCAACGCCGCGUGAGUGAAGAAGGUUUUCGGAUCGUAAAACUCUGUUGUCAGAGAAGAACGUGUGCGAGAGUAACUGUUCGUGCAGUGACGGUAUCUGGCCAGAAAGCCACGGCUAACUACGUGCCAGCAGCCGCCGCCG